ensembl:lncRNA
GCGAACGCCAUGUUCGCCGUCUGCAGGAGGCUGAUCCUCGCCUGGCUGCUGACACACGGCGCCGCGCUGACGACCGGCCCGGACAGCGGCCCCUCGCACGCCGUGACGGGACCGCCGCCCACAGCGCACGCCGUGACGGGACCGCCGCCCACAGCGCACACGGCCAAGAAGGAGCCGCCGCCCACAGCGCACACGGCCAAGAAGGAGCCGCCGCCCACAGCGCNNNNNNNNNNCCACGGCCAAGAAGGAGCCGCCCGGCGGUGGUCACGUGACCCGAGAGACCGACAGCGGCACGCCGCCAACAACCGACCUGACGGCGUUUCCCCCGAGGGGCUCCACCCGCUCCGCAGGUGGUGCCAAGACCACAUGGGAGAAGCCGCUCGACUUCACGACAACUGGCGAACCGAUAACGGCACCACCAGCGGCAACUGCCUCCACCCGACCCGUCUCCUCCCGAACCGCAUCCACCCGACCCGUCUCCUCCCGAACCGCAUCCACCCGAACCGUCUCCUCCCGACCCGCCUCCACCCGACCCGCCUCCACCAGACCCGCCUCCUCCCAAACCAGCUCCACCCGACCAGUCUCCGUCCGAACCGGCUCCACCACAACCAGCCGACCCACCGAUAUGACGACCCGGCUGCCCUCCGGCCUCCUCUCCACCACGCAGGCGUCUACCGGCGCCCCCGCGCCUACGUCGUCCGCCGGUUUACACGGAACUCCGGCCGCGGCAAAGACGGCGUCUGUCCACACCGGCGGGACAAAGGAAAGUGGACGGGGGGGCAAGAGGCAGAAGCCCCGCGAGGGGUCGACCCACGGCCAGGUGGUGGCGGGGCUGAUCGGCGGCGCCCUGGUGGGGAUGAUGGUGGGCUUCCUGCUCAUCUACCUGAAGAAGCGGCAGCUUCAGAAGCAGCAGGGGACCACCGCCGACUGGGCCGGCCCCUCGCCGUUCCUCGAGGGCGACGGCCCGGCGCCCCUCAGGCCGUCGAACCGCAUCUCGCUGUCGGGCUUCCUGUCCCAGAGGCAGUCGGCGCUGCCGGAAACGGAGCUGGAGGACAUGGCGCCGGGCAGCACGUUUGGGGGCGUCGCCAAGGAGACGGCGAGCAACGGAGGCAGUGUGAACGCGACGGGCCGCCGCGCCUCUCCGACCGACGGGCCGCCGCAGUAGAGCCCUCACGCCAUCGGUCACGUGACGGCUCAGGUUGA